AUGACCAGAGACAACCUGAGGAAAAGUCACAUCAUUAAAUCCCUUGAUUGUGUCUUCUUUUCUGAUCAAGAAACUAACUCCCACUUGUUUUUUGAUUGCAUAGUAGCAAAAAUCAUCUGGUCUUUUGUGGCUGACCACUUUCAGGUCCACUUAGGAACAGGAUACGAAUCUGUAGCCAGAUUCUGGGUCUCUAACAAGAAGAAUUCGGCUCUAAACAUAGUUUCUUCAGCUGUCCUUUGGUGUUUGUGGAAGUAUAGGAACUCUAUCAUCUUUAACAACACCAUUUGGACCUCGAUUUCGCAGGUCUGGAGACUGAUCCUCAGAACCCUCAAGUUCUGGGUGAUCUUGGCACCCGAAAGUGGCAGGGCUCGCCUGGAGAUUUUCCUGACAGCGCUAACAGCUUUCUCGCUAUAG
rnacentral:rRNA from 1 species